UGCGGUCUGCGCUUCUCGACAGGAACAACAUUCCCCGGGGCCAUACGCGAUCCAAGGGAGCUGUCCCUGAUUGAACCCGUGGGUUCGGUUAUACGGCACCCACCUACUUUGUAGGUACCCGGGAUCGUAAAACUCCAUCGGUCGCCGUGGAUCGCGC
rnacentral:other from 1 species